GGGUUAUAGGCAUGCGCCACCUCACCCAACGAAAUUUUUAAAUUUUAUUGUGGAAAUAUACAUAAUGCAAAAUUUACUAUUUUUAAUCAUUUAUUUAUUUUCUUUCUUUUUUUCUGUUUGUGAAUGAUUUGUUAGGGUCCAAUUAGAAGGGUAACUGCUGAGGUUGAGGCAAAGAAAUAUUAGAGUCCUCUUUCUAAAUGACUGCAGCAAAUAUGAGAUUUAUUACCUUCAUCAUAUCUGUCAUUUAAUAGUUUAAUGAAACCCAGGCAGUCCAUUCAAACUAAGAUGGACUGAUUUGUUUACAUUACUCACAGUCUACUCAUUUUACCUGUCAAUAUUCCUGCAUUAACAGGAGGUUUUGGGGAAUGCCUCAUAUCCAAAUCAUAGCAAACACUAUGAAAGUAUAGGCUGGCUUUUAUUAUUGUUAUUGUUUUCUGUAGCAGCAUUCUAGGCUGAGCCCUCUGCAAAGUCUGAACUCAGCAAGUUUGUAUUCAAGGACGUUUUUGAUAUUGGCCUUUUUUGUGAGCUCCAGUGGUCCUACAGGCAGCUUGGAGGGCCUUAGCUCCACUGUGUCAUAUCAACAUCAGCAUAAUGAGAUCAGGGUGGUGGCCACAUUAAAACAGUACAAGAAUUUUCCCUAGCUUCUUCCUAUCUCCUUGUGCUCCUUCUACCACAUUACCAGCCUCUUAUAAAGUCUGGAGUCUCUAAAGCUGGCCUCCCAAUGUCUGUACAUUACUUGCAUAAACAGGACCUCUCCUCAUGAAAGCCCUGUGAUUAACACUAUCCCCAGAAAAUGGAGGCCCAGAGAGUUAGAGAUUUGCCCAAAGGCACAUAACUAAUAAAGAAGAACAGGGACUUGAACCCAGAUAUACAGGAUUCUUAGCUCAUAUUCCAUCCAGUAUACAAUGUGAACUCAUCCUAAGGUGCUCAUAGUUUCGAAUGUUUUAACUUUUCUUUCAUAAAGAAUUUGCAUUUCAAAAGGGGAAUCAUGUGGAUGCAAAAAGCAUGACUCUAAAGAAAGGAAUUCCUUUUCCUUAAAUGGUGACUUGACGAGGAUAUGGAAAGAAGCAUGAUGAAGAUAGAUUUAAGAAACUGAAAAAAAGGAUGCCUUGAAGAAUUUGACAUUUGUCCUUGUCUUUAUCAUUAACAAUUUUAGCAUAUGUUCUUGGGUAACAUUAUACAGAAAUUGAUUCAUAAAGGUGGAAUGUUUAGGCCAUGUGGCAAGGCAGUGGAGAAGAGCUUUGGAAGCAGGAGGUCUCUCAGGACACCCUAGGAGGAUACCAUUGUAUAAAGUCUAGGCCUUCAAUUUAAGGUGGUCAUCUUAAUGACAAGCCAACUCGGAUGGAAGCAGAACAUGAGGGAAGUGGUAGCAAAGACUGCUGGAAAGCCUAGUGUCAAGUUUGGUUCUGUUAUGUUCUCUUAUCUUCAGGCGUGCCCUCUGCCAGCCUGCAAAGAACUUGAGAGCACUUGGAUUACUUUGGGGCUUGUCAUAUCUCAGCUAAGCUGUCAAUAUGGAAAAACACAAAUUGAUUACAAUUGCUUUCACUGUCCUUCUAAAUUAGGCAAUAAAUAGGAUGAACCACUGAAUGAGACAUCAGUCCUUUCCAAGCUGUGUAGCAUGCUGAAAAAGGAAAUUAUUGAGUGAAAAUCAAGAGCCACCCAAGCAGAGGUAGCCUCAAGGAAUGUGUCCAAAAGGGGGGAGUUUUAGGAUACAUACUACUUUCAAUUUGUGGUCAUUUUACAGAUCAAGAAAGGUUGCAAUAAAUUCUAAUUUAAUGACUGUAAAUACAACUAUUAAAAAGUGUCUCAAAACUACCCUUCAUUGCCUUCCUCAAACACAGCUUCUUGGGGAGCCUUUGAAGAUAUUGAGGGUUCCACAAAGAACCUACCUACUUGUCUUAGUCACCUCUGACUGCCAUAAAAAAAUAACAUAGACUAGAGGCUAACACAUCAGACGUCCAUUUUCUUACAGUUGUGGAAGCUGGAAAUCUGAGAACAGAAUUUCUAGAUGGUUGAAUUCUGGCUUGCAGGUGGCCUGUCUUCUGUGUUUUUUUUCUGUCUGUCUUUUUUUGUUCCUCUGUCCCCUCUUCUCAUAAAAUCACUAAUCCCACCAUGACUUCUCU
rnacentral:lncRNA from 1 species